rnacentral:rRNA from 1 species
CACGUAGGGCGCAAGCGUUGUCCGGAAUUAUUGGGCGUAAAGAGCUCGUAGGCGGUCUGUUACGUCUGCUGUGAAAACCCUGGGCUUAACCCUGGGCUUGCAGUGGAUACGGGCACACUAGAGGCAGGUAGGGGAGAAUGGAAUUCCCGGUGUAGCGGUGAAAUGCGUAGAUAUUGGGAAGAACACCAGCGGCGAAAGCGCGUGACUGGGCCGGAACUGACACUCAUGGACGAAAGCUAGGGGAGCGAAAGGG